rnacentral:rRNA from 1 species
ACGAACGCUGGCGGCUUGCUUAACACAUUCAAGUCUAACGGUAAGGUCCUUUCUGGGGUUCACGAGUGGCGAACGGGUGAGUAACACUUUGGUGAUCUGCCCUGCACUAUGGGAUAAGCCUGUGGAACUUGGUCUAAUACCGGAUAGGACUACGCGAUGCAUGUCGUGAGGUGGGAAGCUGUUGCGGUGUGGGAUGGGCCCGCUGCCUAUCAGCUUGUUGGUGGGGUGAUGGCCUACCCAGGCGACGACGGGAAGCCGGCCUGAGAGGGUGUCAGGCCACACUGGGACUGAGAUACGGCCCAGACUCCUACGGGAGGCAGAAGUGGGGAAUAUUGCACAAUGGGCGCAAGCCUGAUGCAGCGACGCAGCGUGGGGGAUGACGGCCUUCGGGUUGUAAACCCCUUUCAGCACAGACGAAGCGUAAGUGACGGUAUGUGCAGAAGAAGCACCGGCAAACUACGUG